ACAGAGGGUGCAAGCGUUAAUCGGAAUUACUGGGCGUAAAGGGAGCGUAGGUGGCUCGAUAAGUCAGAUGUGAAAUCCCCGGGCUCAACCUGGGAACUGCAUCUGAUACUGUUGAGCUAGAGUAUGUGAGAGGAAGGUAGAAUUCCAGGUGUAGCGGUGAAAUGCGUAGAGAUCUGGAGGAAUACCGAUGGCGAAGGCAGCCUUCUGGCAUAAUACUGACACUGAGGCUCGAAAGCGUGGGUAGCAAACAGG
rnacentral:rRNA from 1 species